rnacentral:lncRNA from 1 species
AAAAGCUUUUGGACAGAAAAAAAAAAAAAAAAAAAAACAAAAGACAUACAAAUGGACAACAAGUGAAUAAAAAAUGCUCAACAUCACUAUCGUCAGAGAAAUACAAAUAGAAAUUUCAAUGAGAUAUCAUCUCACCCCAAUUGAAAUGACUUUAUCCAAAAGACAGGCAAUAAUAAAUGCUGACGAGCAUGUAGGGAAAGGGGAACACUCAUACACUGUUGAUAAAAAUGAAAAUUAGUACAGUCACUACAGAGAACAG